UCUCGAUAGCGUAAAAGUUAACUCAAAUUUGUAUGGAGUUCGAACGCUUUCCUACUUUUGCCGCAAGGGGCGCUGUUCCAACUGCGUACAAGUUUGAGUUAACUCUUACGCUAUCGA
rnacentral:pre_miRNA from 9 species